rnacentral:rRNA from 1 species
GUACGCUGGCGGCAUGCUCACACAUGUGACAAGUUGAACGGGUUUAAGUCUAUUAAACUUAAACAAGUAGCGGACGGGUGAGCAACGCGUAAGAACCUACCUUUAGGUAAGGAAUAACUAUUGGAAACGAUAGAUAAUACCUUAUAAGCUUAUAGUAAAAGAUAAAAUCGCCUAAGGAUGGGCUUGCGUCUGAUUAGCUUGUUGGUGAUUUAAAAGAUUCACCAAGGCAACGAUCAGUAGUUGGUCUAAGAGGAUGAUCAACCACACUGGGACUGAGACACGGGCCAGACCUCUACGGAGGGCAGCAGUGAGGAAUUUUCCGCAAUGGGCGAAAGCCUGACGGAGCAAUGCCGCGUGGAGGAUAGAAAGCUUGUGAGUCGUAAACAUCCUUUAUCUUAGUGAAGAAAUAAGACGGUAUCUAAGGAAUAAGCAUCGGCUAACUCCGUGCCAGCAGCCGCGGUAAUACGGAGGAUGCAAGCGUUAUUCGGAAUUAUUUGGCGUAAAGCGUCUGUA